rnacentral:rRNA from 1 species
AACGAACGCUGGCGGCAUGCCUAACACAUGCAAGUCGAACGAGACCUUCGGGUCUAGUGGCGCACGGGUGCGUAACGCGUGGGAACCUGCCCUUAGGUUCGGAAUAACUCUCCGAAAGGGGUGCUAAUACCGGAUAAUGUCUUCGGACCAAAGAUUUAUCGCCUUUGGAUGGGCCCGCGUUGGAUUAGCUAGUUGGUAGGGUAAAAGCCUACCAAGGCGACGAUCCAUAGCUGGUCUGAGAGGAUGAUCAGCCACACUGGGACUGAGACACGGCCCAGACUCCUACGGGAGGCAGCAGUGGGGAAUAUUGGACCAUGGGCGAAAGGCUGAUCCAGCAAUGCCGCGUGAGUGAUGAAGGCCUUAGGGUUGUAAAGCUCUUUUACCCGGGAUGAUAAUGACAGUACCGGGAGAAUAAGCUCCGGCUAACUCCGUG